AUACGUAGGGGGCUAGCGUUAUCCGGAAUUACUGGGCGUAAAGGGUGCGUAGGUGGUUUCUUAAGUCAGAAGUGAAAGGCUACGGCUCAACCGUAGUAAGCUUUUGAAACUAAGAGACUUGAGUGCAGGAGAGGAGAGUAGAAUUCCUAGUGUAGCGGUGAAAUGCGUAGAUAUUAGGAGGAAUACCAGUUGCGAAGGCGGCCCUGUGGACUGAAAGUGACAGUGAGGCGCAAACGCGUGGUGACCAAACAUGAUGAGAUUCCCUGGGCGUCCACGCCGCAAACGGUGCGUACUAGCUAACGGGAGUUGCCCCCCUCGGUGUCGCAGCUAACGCAUUAAGUACUCCGCCUGGGAAGUACGCUCGCAAGAGUGAAACUCAAAUGAAUUGACGGGG
rnacentral:rRNA from 1 species